CAGCCGCCGCGGGAACACGAAGGGUGCAAGCGUUACUCGGAAUUACUGGGCGUAAAGCGUGCGUAGGUGGUGGUUUAAGUCCGUUGUGAAAGCCCUGGGCUCAACCUGGGAAUUGCAGUGGAUACUGGGUCACUAGAGUGUGGUAGAGGAUAGUGGCAUUUCCGGUGUAGCAGUGAAAUGCGUAGAGAUCGGAAGGAACAUCUGUGGCGAAGGCGACUAUCUGGGCCAACACUGACACUGAGGCACGAAAGCGUGGGGAGCAAACAGGAUUAGAUACCCCCGUAGUCCCUGUCUCUUAUAC
rnacentral:rRNA from 1 species